rnacentral:rRNA from 1 species
UACGGGGGGGGCAAGCGUUGUUCGGAAUUACUGGGCGUAAAGGGCUCGUAGGCGGCCAACUAAGUCAGACGUGAAAUCCCUCGGCUUAACCGGGGAACUGCAUCUGAUACUGGAUGGCUUGAGAUUGGGAGAGGGAUGCGGAAUUCCAGGUGUAGCGGUGAAAUGCGUAGAUAUCUGGAGGAAUACCGAUGGCGAAGGCAGGUCUCUGGGCUGACACUGACGCUCAUGCACGAAAGCGUGGGGAGCAAACAGG